UACGGAGGGUGCGAGCGUUGUCCGGAAUCACUGGGCGUAAAGAGCUCGUAGGCGGUCUGUUGCGUCGGCUAGUGAAAACCCGGGGGCUCCAACUCCGGGCCUGCAUGCCGAUACGGGCUAGACUAGAGUUCGGCAGGGGAGACUGGAAUUCCUGGUGUAGGCAGGUGAAAUGCGCAGAUAUCAGGAGGAACACCGGUGGCGAAGGCGGGUCUCUGGGCCGAUACUGACGCUGAGGAGCGAAAGCGUAGGGGAGCGAACAGG
rnacentral:rRNA from 1 species